GGGACACGUGGUAUCCUGUCUGAAUAUGGGGGGACCAUCCUCCAAGGCUAAAUACUCCUGACUGACCGAUAGUGAACCAGUACCGUGAGGGAAAGGCGAAAAGAACCCCGGCGAGGGGAGUGAAAAAGAACCUGAAACCGUGUACGUACAAGCAGUGGGAGCACGCUUCGGCGUGUGACUGCGUACCUUUUGUAUAAUGGGUCAGCGACUUAUAUUCUGUAGCAAGGUUAACCGAAUAGGGGAGCCGAAGGGAAACCGAGUCUUAACUGGGCGUUAAGUUGCAGGGUAUAGACCCGAAACCCGGUGAUCUAGCCAUGGGCAGGUUGAAGGUUGGGUAACACUAACUGGAGGACCGAACCGACUAAUGUUGAAAAAUUAGCGGAUGACUUGUGGCUGGGGGUGAAAGGCCAAUCAAACCGGGAGAUAGCUGGUUCUCCCCGAAAGCUAUUUAGGUAGCGCCUCGUGAAUUCAUCUCCGGGGGUAGAGCACUGUUUCGGCAAGGGGGUCAUCCCGACUUACCAACCCGAUGCAAACUGCGAAUACCGGAGAAUGUUAUCACGGGAGACACACGGCGGGUGCUAACGUCCGUCGUGAAGAGGGAAACAACCCAGACCGCCAGCUAAGGUCCCAAAGUCAUGGUUAAGUGGGAAACGAUGUGGGAAGGCCCAGACAGCCAGGAUGUUGGCUUAGAAGCAGCCAUCAUUUAAAGAAAGCGUAAUAGCUCACUGGUCGAGUCGGCCUGCGCGGAAGAUGUAACGGGGCUAAACCAUGCACCGAAGCUGCGGCAGCGACGCUGAUGCGUUGUUGGGUAGGGGAGCGUUCUGUAAGCCUGCGAAGGUGUGCUGUGAGGCAUGCUGGAGGUAUCAGAAGUGCGAAUGCUGACAUAAGUAACGAUAAAGCGGGUGAAAAGCCCGCUCGCCGGAAGACCAAGGGUUCCUGUCCAACGUUAAUCGGGGCAGGGUGAGUCGACCCCUAAGGCGAGGCCGAAAGGCGUAGUCGAUGGGAAACAGGUUAAUAUUCCUGUACUUGGUGUUACUGCGAAGGGGGGACGGAGAAGGCUAUGUUGGCCGGGCGACGGUUGUCCCGGUUUAAGCGUGUAGGCUGGUUUUCCAGGCAAAUCCGGAAAAUCAAGGCUGAGGCGUGAUGACGAGGCACUACGGUGCUGAAGCAACAAAUGCCCUGCUUCCAGGAAAAGCCUCUAAGCAUCAGGUAACAUCAAAUCGUACCCCAAACCGACACAGGUGGUCAGGUAGAGAAUACCAAGGCGCUUGAGAGAACUCGGGUGAAGGAACUAGGCAAAAUGGUGCCGUAACUUCGGGAGAAGGCACGCUGAUAUGUAGGUGAGGUCCCUCGCGGAUGGA
rnacentral:rRNA from 1 species